AUUGAACGCCCGCGGGAUGCUUUACACAUGCAAGUCGAACGGCAGCGCGGACUUCGGUCUGGCGGCGAGUGGCGAACGGGUGAGUAAUGUAUCGGAACGUGCCCAGUAGCGGGGGAUAACUACGCGAAAGCGUAGCUAAUACCGCAUACGCCCUACGGGGGAAAGCAGGGGAUCGUAAGACCUUGCACUAUUGGAGCGGCCGAUAUCGGAUUAGCUAGUUGGUGAGGUAACGGCUCACCAAGGCGACGAUCCGUAGCUGGUUUGAGAGGACGACCAGCCACACUGGGACUGAGACACGGCCCAGACUCCUACGGGAGGCAGCAGUGGGGAAUUUUGGACAAUGGGGGCAACCCUGAUCCAGCCAUCCCGCGUGUGCGAUGAAGGCCUUCGGGUUGUAAAGCACUUUUGGCAGGAAAGAAACGUCGCGGGCUAAUACCCCGUGGAACUGACGGUACCUGCAGAAUAAGCACCGGCUAACUACGUG
rnacentral:rRNA from 1 species